AGCGAACGCUGGCGGCAGGCCUAACACAUGCAAGUCGAACGGACCCUUCGGGGUUAGUGGCGGACGGGUGAGUAACACGUGGGAACGUGCCUUUAGGUUCGGAAUAGCUCCUGGAAACGGGUGGUGAUGCCGAAUGUGCCCUUCGGGGGAAGGAUUUAUCGCCUUUAGAGCGGCCCGCGUCUGAUUAGCUAGUUGGUGAGGUAAUGGCUCACCAAGGCGACGAUCAGUAGCUGGUCUGAGAGGAUGACCAGCCACAUUGGGACUGAGACACGGCCCAAACUCCUACGGGAGGCAGCAGUGGGGAAUCUUGCGCAAUGGGCGAAAGCCUGACGCAGCCAUGCCGCGUGGAUGAUGAAGGUCUUAGGAUUGUAAAAUCCUUUCACCGGUGAAGAUAAUGACUGUAGCCGGAGAAGAAGCCCCGGCUAACUUCGUGCCAGCCGCCGCGGUAA
rnacentral:rRNA from 1 species